UUUCCAGUAGCUCUUACCUGUGCCUGAGGCUCCAGCUGGGACACCCUGUACACUUCUGCCCUUGUUCUCUCCUGAAUCUUCUGUGCUUGUUCCUGCUCAGGCUACACUGCACUGCAAAUCUACUUGAAUGAUCUUCAUGCCAGCGCUCACACACCUGAAAGGGGAUUUCCAAAAGAAGUCAACUUCCAAAAGCUCUCAGCAAGACUCGGUGGCCAGACUUGUGGAAGAAAACUGGAAAUUUAGGCCAUUUAUUUCAGACUGUAAAUGUGAUGCAAGCUUCUUGAGGAAAUCUGGCCCUUCUUUUCCAGGUCACCAGAUCCUCGCCGGGAUGAAUUAGCAUAGCUCUCCAAGGUACAAUGGUGCGGCGCUGAUUUACAUCGGCUGAAAGCUGUCCCUUUGUCUGCUGGAGUUGUAGCGGGAGCAAGUUUAAAUCACAGCUUUGCAGUGGAGGCUCCUCCGACCCAGCCUCACCGAAACAAUGGACCGCAGUGGUGUAUUGUGACUGCUGUUUCCUGACAGCAUGUGAUAGUAACCUUGAUUCCUAAAAGGCAUUUCUGUGUUGUUAACGUGGUGGAUUCAUGGGCAGAAGCUUCCAGACCAGGCCCACAGAUGCUCUGCGUUAUUUUGAGCACUUGUAACACUCUUUGUGAUGAACCCCCAACUCUGUGUUUGUUUAUGACGGUGCUGAGUAGUUGCGUGGGUCUGCCUAGGAUGACUGCAGCUCUUGACCAGAGGAUUUUAUGGGGAUGGCAGGAGGAAACCUCCAGCACUACAGGAGAUGUACGCUUCUUGUUUUCCGUCUGCUCUUUGUACUAGUUUCAUGCUGAAGUUGGAAGUGGAAGAUUUAAUAAGUGGCAGAAAUGGAAAGUGGUAGUGAAGAAAAUGGUAUUUUUUUGUGACUACUGUCAUCUUGACUAAAUUACUGUCAUCUUUGGAAUGCUUCCUGAGAUCUUCAGCAACAGAUGAUGAAGUUCAGAUGGGGAGGCUUUUUUUGUGGAAGAGGUACAUCAGUGAACCCAUUUAGUUGCACCCUGAUUUUUGUCUUACAAGAAGGCACAUCAUCAGAGAAGCUUAAAGUAAGUUCAGUAAGGAAGAUGGCUCUUACUCAAGCCAUGCAUGAAUGUGUGAGCUGCACAUUAUGCUGGUUCUUUGUUGACCACAGAGGAGGAGGUGCUGAGGAUUUAGAAAGCUUAGCUAAGAGUCUUAUCCACUGAGCAUCAUGCCAAUGGAAACAAAUUUUAGGUAUGCUUAGGACCAAAUACUGCUCACAGCAAAGGCCAUAGCAGUUCUGCUGCUCAGUUCAGUGCUAAUCUAGGCUUUCAUCAUCUUACUUUCAUAAAACAAGUUCUUAGCUCUGCAAGCACCUCCUCACCUGAGCAGUAUCUCGACAUGAUUCAGUUUAAGUUGAGAGAACUGCAGGACAUAAAAGGUUUUAAUGAUUUUCUAAAAACUGCUCUGACUAUCUAUUUAAUAGUGUUGUUGAAGAACAAAGCUGUUGUUCAUGUUAAAUAUUGCUCCACGUACAACUGACAUCCUGAUCAUUGUUUUCUCUAAUUUGAAAACAUGAGACUGUAGGCAUUUGAAUGCUUUUACUGCACAGAUGACGCUGCAUCGUAUUAUAUUACUGCUCAAGUCUGGAUCCUAAUCCUUCUGUUUUAAUAGAUGGAAUUCAUGAUCCCAUUUCUGUCACUCUAGUAAAAUCCUAAUUUUCUGGGGGGAAAAAACAACAAUAUCCUCCUGAAAUUUAAC
ensembl:lncRNA